rnacentral:rRNA from 1 species
GAUGAACGCUGGCGGCGUGCCUAAUACAUGCAAGUCGAGCGAACGGACGAGAAGCUUGCUUCUCUGAUGUUAGCGGCGGACGGGUGAGUAACACGUGGAUAACCUACCUAUAAGACUGGGAUAACUUCGGGAAACCGGAGCUAAUACCGGAUAAUAUUUUGAACCGCAUGGUUCAAAAGUGAAAGACGGUCUUGCUGUCACUUAUAGAUGGAUCCGCGCUGCAUUAGCUAGUUGGUAAGGUAACGGCUUACCAAGGCAACGAUGCAUAGCCGACCUGAGAGGGUGAUCGGCCACACUGGAACUGAGACACGGUCCAGACUCCUACGGGAGGCAGCAGUAGGGAAUCUUCCGCAAUGGGCGAAAGCCUGACGGAGCAACGCCGCGUGAGUGAUGAAGGUCUUCGGAUCGUAAAACUCUGUUAUUAGGGAAGAACAUAUGUGUAAGUAACUGUGCACAUCUUGACGGUACCUAAUCAGAAAGCCACGGCUAACUACGUGCCAGCAGCCGCGGUAAUACGUAGGUGGCAAGCGUUAUCCGGAAUUAUUGGGCGUAAAGCGCGCGUAGGCGGUUUUUUAAGUCUGAUGUGAAAGCCCACGGCUCAACCGUGGAGGGUCAUUGGAAACUGGAAAACUUGAGUGCAGAAGAGGAAAGUGGAAUUCCAUGUGUAGCGGUGAAAUGCGCAGAGAUAUGGAGGAACACCAGUGGCGAAGGCGACUUUCUGGUCUGUAACUGACGCUGAUGUGCGAAAACGUGGGGAUCAAACAGGAUUAGAUACCCUGGUAGUCCACGCCGUAAACGAUGAGUGCUAAGUGUUAGGGGGUUUCCGCCCCUUAGUGCUGCAGCUAACGCAUUAAGCACUCCGCCUGGGGAGUACGACCGCAAGGUUGAAACUCAAAGGAAUUGACGGGGACCCGCACAAGCGGUGGAGCAUGUGGUUUAAUUCGAAGCAACGCGAAGAACCUUACCAAAUCUUGACAUCCUUUGACAACUCUAGAGAUAGAGCUUUCCCCUUCGGGGGACAAAGUGACAGGUGGUGCAUGGUUGUCGUCAGCUCGUGUCGUGAGAUGUUGGGUUAAGUCCCGCAACGAGCGCAACCCUUAAGCUUAGUUGCCAUCAUUAAGUUGGGCACUCUAAGUUGACUGCCGGUGACAAACCGGAGGAAGGUGGGGAUGACGUCAAAUCAUCAUGCCCCUUAUGAUUUGGGCUACACACGUGCUACAAUGGACAAUACAAAGGGCAGCGAAACCGUGAGGUCAAGCAAAUCCCAUAAAGUUGUUCUCAGUUCGGAUUGUAGUCUGCAACUCGACUACAUGAAGCUGGAAUCGCUAGUAAUCGUAGAUCAGCAUGCUACGGUGAAUACGUUCCCGGGUCU